rnacentral:rRNA from 1 species
GACGAACGCUGGCGGCGUGCUUAACACAUGCAAGUCGGACGGUCGGCACUGGAAGGUUCGCUGGAAGGUGCCGAUAGUGGCGGACGGGUGAGUAACGCGUGAGGACAUGGCUCCAGGAGGGGGAUAACGUUUGGAAACGGACGCUAAGACCCCAUAAGCCGGGAGGUGAAAAUGGCGCAAGCCAGCCUGGAGAGUGACUCGCGUCCUAUCAGCUGGUUGGUGGGGUGACGGCCCACCAAGGCGAUGACGGGUAGCCGACCUGAGAGGGUGGCCGGCCACACUGGAACUGAGAUACGGUCCAGACUCCUACGGGAGGCAGCAGUGGGGAAUAUUGGGCAAUGGGCGCAAGCCUGACCCAGCGACGCCGCGUGGGGGAAGAAGUCUUUCGGGACGUAAACCCAUGUUGUACGGG